rnacentral:misc_RNA from 1 species
UUUCCGUAGGUGAACCUGCGGAAGGAUCAUUAUUGUAUAACCGAGGUGCGAGGGCUGUCGCUGACCCGAAAGGUCGUGCACGCCCGAGUGCCCUCACACACAUCCAUCUCACCCCUAUGUGCACCACCGCGUGGGUCCCCCUUUGGCUUGUUCGGAGGGGGGCUUACGUUUUCACACAAACUUUGUAUGCAGUGUAUAAUGUAUUUUUUGUUUUUGCGAUCACGCAAUCAAUACAACUUUCAACAACGGAUCUCUUGGCUCCC